rnacentral:lncRNA from 1 species
UUUCGCGCGUUUCCAAUUUCGGCCGCACGGUGGUGACACAGUUCGAUCUCGAGGCGAAUAGCUAGUAGAGACGGCGAUUGAGCGCCAUGCUUUGAGGUGGCGGAAACAAGAAUCCUACGCUUGAGCGCAGAAAGAGCGCCUCAAGGAAACGAGGGAUGUUAACGGCUGUACUCGUCCUAGUGGUCGGAGUCGGUUAUUAACAUAUUUGACGUCAUCGUGACGUCACCCUACUUUUCUCUCUCUUUUUUUUUUUCGCUCAUCGGUCGCUCUUUUUCUCGCUUCUUUGCUCGCUCGGACGCCCGAAGCGCGUUACAACAGCCAAGGCUACGGCAGCGCCGGCCUAGUCAAACCAGCCGGCAAAGCUGAGUCACAGUCCGUUGCAGCACAAGCCUGGCGGUGGUUGAUUUGAAAUAGUAGGAUGACUCACGCAAGAAGUUCAACAGAUUUCCGAAUGCUUCUGCGCCCUUAGUAUUGCACGGCUCAAGGGUACGUCAUCAGACGACGUGAACGUGAUCCGCUGCUCUGGUGAUGCGAUACCCAUGGGAAGGAGGCCAGACGAGGCCUCGCUGUGCCAACCCAGACUUUGUACACCUGUGACUCGCCUCAAGAGCGCUGUUUCUCAGAGAGCUCGAACCUGCGACGGAAAUUUCAGGUCGCACUCCACGAGGGCCUCUGUUUGGAUGAUGCUAGGCGAAACUUGAGCGCUGCCAUUGUGAGCAUAGCUUAACCGUAGCCAUCUUUUUUUCUUCCAUCCCCUCUGCGGCCCCCGCUCCGUUCUUUCCUUCCGAAUUGCUCCCCGCAACCCGAGUCCUCUACAGCCGUCUACAGCCAACGAGUCCUCGCCGCUCAAACCGACCGUCCCUUCUCCUCAUCCUCAGUUCAACCCAUCGCCCAAAUGUAAACGCCAGCCAGGUCGACUUUGCUCGACAGCCCCGGCAGCCGACUUCGCCGCAGCUGUAACCUUACCCCCCUCCUCACAAACCAGCUUCGCUCUCGCCCUCGCUUCUGCCCGCUGACAUCGCCUCUUCGCCGUCUUCGCCUGAAGAUUCUCCAAGGCAGACUGCUUCCGCCCGUCCUACUGACUCAGACAGACCUUCCUUUUCCGUAAUAAACAGUUAAUCUUUAAAGUUAUUCCUUCUUCGUGGGCCCUCACACCAUCCGUGCGUCAGCAGGUCAGUAGAAAGGAUCGUCACAACAGCGAUGCCGCCGUGUCGUUUUUUCAACCGUAACAGAAGAGGAUGUCUUUUGCCGCAUUUGUGACGGACUGCGGCUCCACGGCGGCGGGCACGACCGGUCCCUGUUGCACCGGAGCCGGGCCAACGGCAAGAACGCUGACGUCAGCGGGCCCCGGCGCGUGGACGACCCGGCGGAACAUCGAGACGCCAUCCGGUGCUUCGGCGCUCGGCUGGCCCGCGACCCUGUGUUUUCUGCCGCCGCCCUGGAAGCAGCCGGACUGCAAGGGGUAGCUGCUUCGGCCUUGGCGACUGUGCCACCGAGACCGCCAACACCGCGCACCGAAGACCAGGCCGGGCCCAGCGGACUAUAGGACCUGAUCGACGGGGACAUUGACCUCAACCCGCUGUGACCUGUAGACCGCUGGGCAGGGACGACGACUACGAGCCCCUUUGGGCUCGGAAUAAACAUCAUGAACACAAGCCUCUGUCGCCGUCGUCCACCAGCUAGGAGACACGAAGCCUCCUUUGCUCUCAAGCCCCCCCAAACCUAGGUAUAGAUACGUACAAAUAAUUUUCUUUUUAUAAGUAAACGCCCGCACUGACUCUUUUCAGGUCCAUUCCAAUAACUGUGGCUUCGUAGUAUCUCCUGUUUUUCUUUGCGAAUUGGCUCUUAUAUUAAAAUUUUCUUUUUGGCAUUAGUAGGCCCCAUUUAUUUAUUUUUAAUUGGUUUAAACUUGUUAUAUUGUUCGGUGGUUCAGGUAGAGAGACACAUUAUAUUUUUAUUCAUUCUAGCUCUCACUCAAAAAAAUGUAAAAAAAAAAAAAGGUAUAUGUAAAAUGUUCCACCGAGACCGCCAGCGCCGCUCACCGAAGUACAGGUCGGGCCCAGCGGAAUACAGGAUCUGGUCGACGUGGACAUUGACCUCGACCUGCUGUGGCCUGUAGACCACUGGGCAGGGACGACGACUUCGAGCCCCUUUGGGCUCGGAUGCUGAAAACACUGGCGACUACUUAUGACCGGCAGCGCAGCGGCUGGUUCCCUUACAAAUAUGUUUUUUGACAUUUUAUUGAAAACGUGUUGACUUCUUGUUGACUCUGAUUACUUUCUUUUGACUUUGACUUCAUGUUGACAUGGUAAACAGAUUUUGUUUCAUUUUCUGUUGAAACUUUUCUGAUGGUUUUCUUUAGCUGAGUCAAACAAAAACCUGUUGACCACCGAAUCAACUCUACGUUGAUUUUUUUUUUCUGCUGACAUCCUGUUGACAGUGCCAUCAGGAUGACUGCAGUUAUGUUUACUUCGUGUUGAAAAUGUUCAGUUCACUCCCUGUAGCCAGUGUCAUUAGGAAAGCUAGAGACUUUCUGUGGAUUUUUUAUUUGAACAUAGUAUAUCUUGAGUAGAUAUGUCAAAAGUUUCUUUCCAAAUAGUUUCUGAUAAGGAGACAACGGUAGAAAGCAACGUCAGUUGUCCCGCCUCCAGCGCGAGCCUCCUGUAUACCCUUGAAAACGCGUCGGCGUUCGUGCACUUUGAGCGCGCGCGUGCAGUGAAAGGGCAUGGGGCGCAUGCUGGAGGCCAGGCGUUCGAAAGGCAUAUAUAUAUAUA